rnacentral:tRNA from 1 species
GGCAAAGUAUGGUAUAGUGGAAAGAACUCCAGAUCUGAAGUUAGAUGACCUGGGUUCAAAUCUCAGCUUUGCCA